CCUACGGGAGGCAGCAGUGGGGGAUAUUGCACAAUGGGGGAAACCCUGAUGCAGCGACGCCGCGUGAGUGAAGAAGUAUUUCGGUAUGUAAAGCUCUAUCAGCAGGGAAGAAAAUGACAGUACCUGACCAAGAAGCCCCGGCUAACUACGUGCCAGCAGCCGCGGUAAUACGUAGGGGGCAAGCGUUAUCCGGAUUUACUGGGUGUAAAGGGAGCGUAGACGGUUAUGUAAGUCUGGAGUGAAAGCCCGGGGCCCAACCCCGGGACUGCUUUGGAAACUGUGUAACUGGAGUACAGGGGGGGCAGGCGGAAUUCCUGGUGGAGGGGUGAAAAGGGUAGAUAUCAGGAGGAA
rnacentral:rRNA from 1 species